CCUGGGAAUAGCAUUGCUUCUCUGCGGCCUGGUGGCCAGUGGGAGUGCCCGACACUGCGAGAAUAUCUGCAAGCCCAUCUGUACAGGAGGGACCGCCGGAAGGUGGCGCCCUCAUCGGGGACAUCACUGGAACUAUCAUCGGAGGUGCUCUGACGGGAACAUGCAGCCCGGUAUGUCCCAGUCAGUGCAACUGGGAAAAGAGGGGCACCGGCACCUGGAUCGAGGCCGUCUUCCCGGCACAUUUAACAGAUUAUGACCUGAACGGUGAUGGACUGAUCUCUCUCAAGGAGUUCGCUGCUGGUUUUAAAGGCAGCCACCUAGACUUUGCUACCCGCCACGUGUUUCAUUUGUCUGAUAAGGAUGGCAAUGGCUUUAUCUCUGCCACGGAACUUGCUGUUGCCCCGCUCAAAUUCCGCUAAAGCUACCUCAGGGUUUCUCACUUGACUUUUACGUUCUAAAGUUGUGGGCGAGGUGAUGUAUACAAAAAA